UAGGGAAUCUUCGGCAAUGGACGCAAGUCUGACCGAGCAACGCCGCGUGAGUGAAGAAGGUUUUCGGAUCGUAAAGCUCUGUUGUUAGAGAAGAACGUUGGUAGGAGUGGAAAAUCUACCAAGUGACGGUAACUAACCAGAAAGGGACGGCUAACUACGUGCCAGCAGCCGCGGUAAUACGUAGGUCCCGAGCGUUGUCCGGAUUUAUUGGGAGUAAAGCGAGUGCAGGCGGUUCUUUAAGUCUGAAGUUAAAGGCAGUGGCUUAACCAGUGUACGCUUUGGAAACUGGAGGACUUGAGUGCAGAAGGGGGGAGUGGAAUUCCAUUUGUAGCGGUGAAAUGCGUAGAUAUAUGGAGGAACACCGGUGGCGAAAGCGGCUCUCUGGUCUGUAACUGACGCUGAGGCUCGAAAGCGUGGGGAGCAAACAGG
rnacentral:rRNA from 1 species